UACGUAGGGUGCGAGCGUUGUCCGGAAUUAUUGGGCGUAAAGAGCUUGUAGGCGGUCUGUCGCGUCUGCUGUGAAAAUCCGGGGCUCAACCCCGGACUUGCAGUGGGUACGGGCAGACUAGAGUGUGGUAGGGGGAGACUGGAAUUCCUGGUGUAGCGGUGAAAUGCGCAGAUAUCAGGAGGAACACCGAUGGCGAAGGCAGGUCUCUGGACAGUUCCUGACAGCUGA
rnacentral:rRNA from 1 species